rnacentral:rRNA from 1 species
AAGGGGGCUAGCGUUGUUCGGAUUUACUGGGCGUAAAGCGCGCGUAGGCGGAUUGGUCAGUUAGGGGUGAAAUCCCAGGGCUCAACCCUGGAACUGCCUUUAAUACUGCCAGUCUUGAGUAUGGAAGAGGUGAGUGGAAUUCCGAGUGUAGAAGUGAAAUUCGUAGAUAUUCGGAGGAACACCAGUGGCGAAGGCGGCUCACUGGUCCAUUACUGACGCUGAGGUGCGAAAGCGUGGGGAGCAAA